rnacentral:rRNA from 1 species
AGAGUUUGAUCCUGGCUCAGGAUGAACGCUAGCUACAGGCUUAACACAUGCAAGUCGAGGGGCAGCAUGGAAGUUUGCUUGCAGACUUUUGAUGGCGACCGGCGCACGGGUGAGUAACACGUAUCCAACCUGCCUCAUACUCGGGGAUAGCCUUUCGAAAGAGAGAUUAAUACCCGAUGUCAUAGUCCUACCGCAUGAUGGGAUUAUUAAAGAAUUUCGGUAUGGGAUGGGGAUGCGUUCCAUUAGUUAGUUGGCGGGGUAACGGCCCACCAAGACAACGAUGGAUAGGGGUUCUGAGAGGAAGGUCCCCCACAUUGGAACUGAGACACGGUCCAAACUCCUACGGGAGGCAGCAGUGAGGAAUAUUGGUCAAUGGACGAGAGUCUGAACCAGCCAAGUAGCGUGAAGGAUGACUGCCCUAUGGGUUGUAAACUUCUUUUAUAUGGGAAUAAAAUGUUCCACGUGUGGGAUUUUGUAUGUACCAUAUGAAUAAGGAUCGGCUAACUCCGUGCCAGCAGCCGCGGUAAUACGGAGGAUCCGAGCGUUAUCCGGAUUUAUUGGGUUUAAAGGGAGCGUAGGUGGAUUGUUAAGUCAGUUGUGAAAGUUUGCGGCUCAACCGUAAAAUUGCAGUUGAAACUGGCAGUCUUGAGUACAGUAGAGGUGGGCGGAAUUCGUGGUGUAGCGGUGAAAUGCUUAGAUAUCACGAAGAACUCCGAUUGCGAAGGCAGCUCACUGGACUGCAACUGACACUGAGGCUCGAAAGUGUGGGUAUCAAACAGGAUUAGAUACCCUGGUAGUCCACACAGUAAACGAUGAAUACUCGCUGUUUGCGAUAUACGGGCAAAGGGCCCAAGCGAAAGCAUUAAGUAUUCCCACCUGGGGGAGUACGCCGGCCAACGGCGAAACUUCAAAAGAAAUUGACGGGGGCCCGCACAAGCGGAGGACCAUGUGGGUUUAAUUCGAUGAUACGCGAGGAACCUUACCCGGGGCUUAAAUUGCACCUGGAUAAUGUGGAAACAUGUUAGCCGUAAGGCAGGUGUGAAGGCGCUGCAUGGUUGUCGUCAGCUCGUGCCGUGAGGUGUCGGCUUAAGUGCCAUAACGAGCGCAACCCUUGUCAUUAGUUACUAACAAGUAAUGUUGAGGACUCUAAUGAGACUGCCGGGGAGAACUCGGAGGAAGGUGGGGAUGACGUCAAAUCAUCAUGCCCCUUAUGUUCUGGGCUACACACGUGCUACAAUGGCCGGUACAGAGAGAAGCAAGACUGUGAAGUGGAGCAAAACUCAAAAACCGGUCCCAGUUCGGACUGCAGGCUGAAACUCGCCUGCACGAAGUUGGAGUUGCUAGUAAUCGCAGAUCAGAAUGCUGCGGUGAAUGCGUUCCCUGGGUCUUGCACACACCGCCCGUCAAG